ensembl:lncRNA
AGGAGUUUUCACCCUGCCUUGGAAGGGGGCCCAGGGAAUACCUGCAUCCCAGAGUGAACCUAAAAUCUCAAAGGAGACUGCAGCCCUGGAUGAUGGAGGAGAGGGAAGCCAGUCCAGAAACUGGCUCCCUGGCAGUGACCCUCACUCUCCUGGCCACCCAGACAGUCUUUGGGGAGAAGACUCAAAUGUCAAGGAGUCUGCAAAGGGCAGUGGAGUGGCUGGAGGACCGAUUAGGACUGCAGCCAGGGCAUGGCCCCCUGGGCUCAGGAGAACAGCAGUCCCAGCCUGUUUUUCCUGAUAGAUGAUGAGACUGUUCCCUGCUGCCAGGUACCCAGAGACCCUCACUCCUUCAGGUGGAGGGCCACUUGCUCAGAUGGCCUUGGAGUUUACUGUGCACCUUAGCCAGGCAUGCAGAUAAGUGGAAUGAUGGGAUUGGGGUGCAUUGUGUUGAGUCAGUCCACCUGGCAAGAUACCUGAACCUCAGCACCUGAUCCUGGAUGUUGGGUUUAUCAAUCCAGCGGGUGAGUUGAGAAAUGGCAUCCAGUCUUUAAGGGCACCGUC